AUUGAACGCUGGCGGCAUGCCUUACACAUGCAAGUCGAACGCGAAAGGGGGGCAACCCCCGAGUAGAGUGGCGGACGGGUGAGUAAUACAUCGGAACGUACCCAGUAGUGGGGGACAACCUCGAGAAAUCGAGGCUAAUACCGCAUACGACCCACGGGUGAAAGCGGGGGACCGCAAGGCCUCGCGCUAUUGGAGCGGCCGAUGUCCGAUUAGCUAGUUGGUGGGGUAAGAGCCCACCAAGGCGACGAUCGGUAGCUGGUCUGAGAGGACGACCAGCCACACUGGGACUGAGACACGGCCCAGACUCCUACGGGAGGCAGCAGUGGGGAAUUUUGGACAAUGGGGGCAACCCUGAUCCAGCCAUGCCGCGUGCGGGAAGAAGGCCUUCGGGUUGUAAACCGCUUUCGGCCGGAACGAAAUCGCCGGGGAGAACAUCCCCGGUGGAUGACGGUACCGGAAGAAGAAGCACCGGCUAACUACGUGCCAGCAGCCGCGGUAAAAC
rnacentral:rRNA from 1 species